GGCCAAAGUCUGCCAUGGCUGGAGUAUGUGUUUAAAUUUUAAAUGACAGAGGUCCCCACCCCAGAGGCUUAAGGCCAGAAUGCAGACUGGUCCCUGCUCCCCUGAAAUCUGAUUAAAAAGACGUUUUGAGAGUGCACUCGCACCUCUUAAAUGACCUCCCUGAAUGCAUCUCGGGAGUUUAACAGCACCAGCAACACCAAUAUUAAAACAUCACCCUCAUUUCCAGGGCUGUUUUCCUCCAACAUGUCACCAAACACUUUCCCCACAAGGAAGUCUGCUUGAGGCCAGGCAAUUGGCUGCCCUUAAAUAAAACCAUUUAGCCCCAGUCCCAACCCGGAGGGUGAGUCAGCUCCCUGCUGCCAGGGUAGCCUCCUUGUUGGUCUUGGAAGCCGGAACCAGGGAGGGUGUUUCAAAAGGCAGAGGGCAACCCUGGGUUGCCACCCUGGACCGCCUAGGAUUAGAUGUAUCAGCAGGCACCACUCCCACUUCACAGACCAGCUCUCGACUGAGUGAGUGUGAGUGGCUACCAGGGGCACUGUUACUCCCGGGGCCAUUCCCCCAACACCUCCCCUCUUUGGCAGUCAUCAGAAAAGCUGUGUUCCGAAACACAGUGUCAGGGGAUGGGGAGGGAAUAGAGUGCUAGUGGCUCAGUGGCUUCCCCCACCCAUCUCCCGAGAGAGCAGAGCAUAGCUGUCCCCCUCCCAUAUUUGCAGUCUCAUUUCUAGAUGACAGUUAAGUUCGUUUAAGUUUUUAUCAUCGAUUUAUGUAUGUAUUUAUUUUUUGUAGGUAUGUUAUUUAAUUUUAAAAGCUGCUAAGGACCUGUCAGUCUUAGCCAGAUCCUAAGAGGGAAGCAAUUAAAGUAAUGGAACAAAAUAACAGAUGGCUACUUUGGGGGGUCUAUUGUUAGCCUUAAAAAAAAAAAAAAAAACCUGUCGGAGAAAAACAAAACACCAUCAGAACGUUCAAAUAAUUAACUCACCCUUAAUACAGCCGGAGCCAAAGGUCAGGGAUCUAAACAGUGAGGGCCUGCCCUGUGAGCAGUGAUGUUUCAAUGAACAUGCAAGCCCAGCAAAGGAGGCAUUUCUUCUUGAUCUACUGAGGAGGUUCUGGACGAGCUGUCAAGAGACCUCUCCUGUCCUGGAGAGCAGGGGUAGCAGCAAGACUACCUAGGCCCCUUUUGGCAACUAGGAGAAAGAACUGUGGCCGAGAACUGUAAUUGCUGGAGAAUCUGCUCAAAAACCAGACCAGUCCUUCGCCCAUCCCCAGGAGAAAAUCUAGGACCUUCCACGUCAGAAAUGUUGCAUAACCUACUUAUCAGAUGAGGAAACCGAGGAAGAGGGAGAGUCACCAAGCCAAGGACACACAACGGUCUGAGCAGUAGCCGGGAUAGGAGGCCGACUGGAUCCUCCUCCAUUCAAUCCUCCGGCUACUGAGGAGCCUCUGGCGCCUACACGUGAGACCAAAGGGCAAAGGUGGAGCCUCCCUUCACCGGGAAGCCGCUCCUGUUCACCUGGGUUUUCGAGAGGGUGGAAGAGCCCCACACCCAGCUGCAAGGCUAGACUCCUACAUCCUCCUCACCUCCUCCUCCUCCUGGCUGACUCAGGGUCGCCUGCUCACUACUUGUGACCUGACAGCUGAGGGAUCUGUGGGGCCUGUGCUAGUUCAGCGUGUGUUGACAGCGAUGACCACGGCUGACGUGGCAGAGCUUUGCGAAGUGUUCACUUUGCCCUCAUACCUCCGUGAGGUAGGUUAUUAUGAUAUUGUUCGGUACUUUACAGUAACAGCCCCUACCAUUCAGGGUUCACGUGAGGACCGUAUGACUUAGAAGUGUAAGGAACUAUGUAGUAUCUGUCAUAAUGACUGGUGCUCUGAUCCCCACUUUUUAGAUGAGAAAACUAAGGCACAGAGAGGUAAAAUCACUUGCCCAAAGGCACACCGCUAAGAAACAGAACCAAGAUCUCCACCCAGCAACCCAGCUCCAGAACUGGCACUACCCCCAAGGACAGAGGGCCAACAGAGCCCCCACGACCAGUAAAGGUGUGGAGACACCCUGCAAGGCCCGUCCAAGCCUUGGGGUGUCCCAAGGAAGGACACCCCCCCCCAUCCCUCCCUCAGCAGGGAGGCCUGGAAAACAGGUCCAUGGAGUCUGGCAGAUACAAAUCUCCUGGCCCUGAACCAGAAGGUAACCACCCAAGUCCCUGGGGGCCCUAGCCUUGGUCUAUUGAAGGGCAUCUCCUUAGCCCCACAGCCCGAGGCCUUGAGGCACCACUCACUGUCAAAGUCGAUCUUCUCCACGAUGUUCUUGGGCUUGAUGCUCUCCUCCUGGCUACAGAUAAAGAUCUGGCCCGACUCAUCAGCGCUCCAGCCAUAUUUGCUCAUCCACACCUUUAGCUGGCUGUCUGCAGGUGACACAGGCGGUGCAGGGGCUCAGUCACCCUGAGCCCACAGUACCAGGCAGCCAAAGGCCAGGGCACCCUCCCUGACCAACUCCCAGCCGCCAGUGUCUCCUGCGUUUCUAUGGUUCAUUCUCCAAACGGCAGCCAGAGGGAGCCUUUUAGCUUUCCAACCCUCACCUUACAGAGCUUUUGGCUAAACUUCUUUUAUUUUCUAACUCGCUUUUCUCUCCCCAGGGCAAAUCCUCGUGUCUAACAACAGUAGUGAGCUUCCUUCUCUGCUUUUCCACGCAACUUUGAAAUGGUUCCAAAAUUAUGUCAUCGCUGUCACUAACAAUAAGCCCAGAUCAUCAGUUGGGAAUUUCUUUGCAGUCCGGUUUCUGCCCUUAAAAAAUACGCCAGUAAGGACGUUCAGCUAGAGGGUCCAGCUCCUUGAAGUCACUCUUUUGUGUGACUAUUAGCGAUUUGAUACGGAUUGAUCUGCUUCUCUUUAGACUCAAGUCUGAAAGCAGUUUCAUCCCUUUUUGACUUUUAUCUUUUUAAGAGAGAGGAAGAGUGCACUCACGAGCAGAAGAGGGACAAUCUUUUUUUUUUUGAGAGAGAGAGAGAGAGCCUGCAAGUACGGGGGAGGGGCAGAGAGGGAAUCCCAAGCGGUCUCCACCCUGUCAGUGCAGAGCCCAACACGGGGCUCUAACCCAUGAACCAUGAGAUCAUGGCCCGAGCUCAAAUCAAGAGUCAGACAUUCAACUGACUAAGCCACCCAAAGUGGCUAAGAGAGAGUGAAUUUUAAGCAGGCUCCAUGAAGGGCUGGAUCUCACCACCGUGAAAUCAUGGCCUGAGCCGAAAUCCAGAGUCAGAUGCUCUACUGACUGAGCCACCCAGAUGCCCCUAAUUUCACUUUUAAAUACGUAAAUAUUGGGGCACCUGAGUGGCUCAGUCAGUUCAGUGGCCUACUUCAGCUCAGGUCAUGAUCUCAUGGUUCAUGGGUUUGAGCCCCGCGUCGGGCUCUGUGCUGACAGCUCAGAGCCUGGAGUCUGCUUCAGAUUCUGUGUCUCCCUCUCUCUCUGCCUCUCCCCUGCUCAUUCUCUGUCUCUCAAAGAUGAAUAAACUUUAAAAAUAAAUAAGUAAACAAAUAAAAUAUCUGAUGUAAAGCACUUAGUACAGUGCCUGAAACAGUGUCCAACAAAAGUCAGUUUCUGCUAAAAAAACUAAAAUCACACACGUACACCUACCCGGAACAAAGAGCAGAACUACCCAAUAAGGUACCAGACAAAUCUCACCCCUGACCCUCCAAGGAAUAACCACUUUUCUUCAUUUUAUUUUUCUUCCUGUGUUACUUCUUGUAGAAAUAAGCAAAUAUAUAAACACAGCUUUCUUUCUUUCUUUCUUUCUUUUGGAAGGAUUUUUUAAAAAACCCAAUCUGAUCAUGUCCCUCCUUGCUCAGAACCCUCCUGGGGCUCCAGAUCACUCAGGACAAAGGACUAAGUCCUCAGGAGGCCCCAUGGCAUCUGAGGCUCUCCCUCCCGCCACCACCUCUGCUCCUCGCUCACCGUGCUUCCGCCAGGCACCCUGGCCGCUCUGUGAAUGAGACUCGCGCGUCCCUGCCUCAGCAGCCUCGUCUGCUUGGCCUUCAGGCUCCUGGCCUAACUCCACUGAGGGACCUAGCCACCUCACCCCCACGAGCUGACACGAAACACACACAUCUCAUCUUGUUAUUUGUUUCUGAGGAGAGCAAACCCGAACCAUUCUGUUUCGCUACUGCUGUAUCCCCAAGGCCUAGAACAGUGCCUGGUACAGAGAAGGCAUUCAAAGAACUUAGGCAGAAUAAAUGAAUGCCACAGGAUCUCCACGAAAGAGUACGUUUCACGCCAGCUCCUCACUCCCUCAGUAAUGAGCUGGGCUGUGCCUUCGAAUGACUUGCUGACGCAGGGUGGGUCCAGCCGAGGAACUGGUGGAGGCCCACUGCCCCUGACCACCCCCAGCCUCCUAGACUGGCACCAGGGACCCAGAGAGGCCUUACCGGUCAGAUCCCCGAGCAUCUCAGCCAGUAGCCAGCGAUCAAUGUGCUGGUAAGUGAUGCCCACAACAUGGCAGAUAACUGUAGAGAUCAGGGACAAAGAUGGUGAAGGGCCACCCCCAGGACCCUGCUGCCACUCCCUACCCCUUCCCCCUGGGGAGCCCAGACACGGAGAGGAACUUACAUUUUCGGACGGAGUCUUCAAAGCCAGUUAUACCCUCCAGGAGGUCCAUAUUUUCAUCCAGGGCUUGCUGGGAAAGCAAAGAUAAUGCUCACGACAAUGUUAAUAACACCAAGAAUAUUAAGAUUAAUGAAAUUAACAAUAGAAGUUAACACUCGAGCAUUCACCCCCCAUGCCAACUUUUCUUCUGCGUGCAAUCCUAUGAUGGAAGUUACUACUUUAUGCCCAUUUUAGAGAUAAAAAACCAAAGCUCAGGGCAGCAAAGUGAUUUGCCCCAAAUCACAGAGCCAGGGUUUGAAUCAGAAGGCAGAAACCACAGACCCAAAGAGGGAACAGAGACAGAUUCGCUAACUGUGUUCACCCACCUCCCCUUGCUGUCUCACUCGGAUCUGAAAAGGUCAAGUGUCCCACCCAUGGCCCACAAGGCCCCACAGGACCUGCCUAUCACCUCCUCCCACUCGGCCCCUUUCUCCAGCCACAGGGGCCUCCUCCCUGCUCCUCAGACAUACCACGUACCCGCCCACCUCCAGGCCUUUGUGCGGGCUGGUGUUGGGUCUGGAACUCUCCUUCCCCAUGGCCAGCACCCCCACUUCCUUCAGGUUUCUGUUCAAACCCAGCAAGGGCUCCCACCCACGUUAGUGAGGAAAAUGAGGAACCCACACGGACAAUGAAAAGGAGCAGCCAGUGAGGCAGGAUACAUAGAAGCCAAAUGAUAGAAGGGCCCGGGGGAGCGGAGCGUGACCACCCAUCAGAGGCGGCCGACGGGGCAGACAAUGUGGGCUCCACACUGUGUGUGCUGGGGACCGGGGGGGGCAGAAGGCUGGUCACGAGAGCCUGAAUGGAAUGAGCGCGGUGGGGUCACGUGAGCAGGGAGGGAAGGCGAGACCGAGCGCCAGCAGCCUGCCCCUGGAGCAGGGUAGCUGACGGGACCGCUCUGCUGGACACCGAGGGGUUUCCUGGGACGGGAGCCUUUCUGCUCCGAGGGGAACAGAGGAAAGGGGCAAGAGGCAGAGGUAGUAGGGAGGGCGAAGGUCCAGGGAGAGUUCUCUUUUGUAGGCUAGGAACGAACUACACGGUGGACGUGUCCUCUGGUGACAAGAACAAUCUGGGAAGGCCCCGUUUGCUGUUACAAGAGAGCAGGGAGCCGCUGGUGUGGUGGCACUGAGUGGGUGAGAGGGAAGGGGAACGGCGCCUGAGGAGAGGGAGGGGUGGCCGGAGAUGGGAGCAGGGACAAUUCACCCACUGAAACAGAAAAGUGCUCGGUCAGCCGCCAGCACACGUGGAGGCUGAGGGCAAUACUGUGUGGGAGACUUCUGCUUUGGCGGCUUCGACUUUCCCAUAAAAUGAGGUGGAAGGUCACCUCAUUGACCUUGAGAUGAGACGGGAUGGGGGAGAGGGGAUGAGAAGGUGCAAAGAGCCGGGAGGGGAGCAAGGAGCAAGGCCCUAGGCUGGGAGGGGAUGAGGGUCGAGGGUUGUGGGGCUGGGCUGUCACGUGCUCCCUGGGGCCCUCCUCCAGCCUCUGUCUCUGGUCUCAGAUACAGAUGCACAAUUUACACUAAAGGAAAAAGCAGAACAGAGAACUAGAAAUGAUGGCCAGGCCCAAGAACUGCCAGGCUGGAGACCUCGCAGGGGUGAGCUGGGAAGCUAGGAGGAAGUGGUCAGAGGGUAGAAACGCCUGCCAUUCGUAGGCAGAGAAGGGAGCAAUUACUGAAGACAAGUACCGGGUAGUGGCUCCCAACCUUCGCCAGGCAUCCGGAUCAUCUGGGAUAACUGCUCAAAACCCCAAAGCCUACACCACACUCACACCGGUCACAUCAGGCUCUGAUGGCUGAAGCCAAGUACCAGUACUUUUUUUCUUUUUAACUCCUUAGGGGUCCAACACCCUGAGAGCUGAUCUAGGGCGUGACAGGGAGACAGGGGCCGAGGCCACAUGGAAGACAGGAGCUGGAAAAACCCGAAGGUCGAGGUGGUGGAAGGAUCACUGCUCUGGCUUUUCAAGCAUCGGAGAAUGACAGGAGUGGGGCAGUGCACAGGAACUCUGUCCUUCACGAGAGGAGGAGCGGUUGCCAGGGGGCCGAAACCAACAAGGCGGGGCAGGAAGUGCCGACACCUGAGCUUCAGGACUGAGCGUGUGCAAGGGGAAACGGGAUCUGGGAAUGAUGGCUCCUGGCCAUCCCGCUGGGCCACUGCAGAAGUGGAGGGUGGGGCCCCAGUUAGAGCAAGAAAGGGAGGGAGCACUCAGAGGGUGGAGGAUUUCGGCAGGAAGGACAGAUGUGAGGGCACGCACGGGUGCCCUGCCCUGGGUGCUGGGGGCACAAGGGACGACGUGGGAGUCCGGACUCUGCGAGGGUGACAAAUCCACGCGGUCACACUCGCAGAGCCCUGGGCACGGGAGCCACCGCCCACCGCUGUGCAGGCGGACGACAAAUGUGCAGGGUCAUCCCAUUCAGCAGGCUGCCGUGCCGGGCCCAGCAGCCCACCCUGCCCCCCGCCCCGGGAGCCAAGUUACCCAGAAGGCCUGGAAGUGGCAGGUCUCCAGCAGGUCCCCGAGGUAUAAGAUCUGUCGGAUUGGUCGUUCUUCUUGCUGAGAUGGGAAAGCGUUAAGGGAAAACAGACCUGAGCCUCGGGAGGCCGCGGCCGAGCCAUCUCCCCGCGCCCACCUUCUGUCCGCCGAAGCACAACUGUGAAGGCAAACGGCGAGCCAACGACAGGAGACAAUUAAGUCAGCGACCGGCCUGUCCACAUACUGGGAUCGAGUCAACUCUCUGAGAACCAACGCAGAGGCGCGACAAGACACGCUGGGAUACGAAAGCAAGAUGCAUACCAGCAUGCAUUGAGCGCCACCGUGGGGGUGGGGAGCAUAUGGACAUGAACGCACACAACUGUACUUGUGCGUCCCCAGGGGAUCCCUGGCAGGGUGGGUACCCAAGAACUGCAAACAACUGUUGUCUCCUGGCGGUGGGGAGUGGGGUGGCUGCGGGACAGGGGAGGGAGGAAGCCUCUUUUUCCACCAUACACUCUUUCCGUACUUGUAACGCCAUACCACAUGCCUAUUUUUUUGGAUGUUUAUUUAUUUUUGAGAGACAGAGCACGAGCAGGGGAGGAGCAGAGAGAGGGAGAUGCAGAAUCUGAAGCCGGCUCCAGGCUCUGAGCCGUCAGCACAGAGCCUGACACGGGGCUCGAACUCACGAACUGUGAGAUCAUGACCCGAGCCGAAGUCAGACGCUUAACCAACCGACUGAGCCACCCAGGCGCCCCAGCCUAUUUUUUUUAAGCCACCAGAGCAGACCUCUGGAGAAGGUGGACAGUUUCGCAGAAGGUAGACCUCCCACGGACACACCUGGCAGCGCAGGUUCAAGGCGUAAGCCACCACUUCUCAGCUCGGCUGCGCGCGGCAGCCCUGGGGACCGGGAGUGCCAGCAGCAAGGGGCACGAUGUGGAUGGGGUGGCUCUGCCAAGUGUGUCAAGUGAUCGCCGGGCAGAGGGAGGCCCACCCGGCCAAGUGCUGGACCAGCCACAAAAAAGCAGGUCAGAGCAAGAUGGGGGGGGGAAGCCAGUUCAUUUUCACUCAACACCGUCACUAAAGGCCAGCAGUGUGCCACAUACAGCUGUCAAUGCAGCUCUUCAUGACUCCUGCCUGGUGCUCGGGCCCCACUUCCUCCUCCUUAAUCAGCUAGAACCCUCAUGGGAAUCCUUCUAAGGCAGAAACCUACCCAUAAUACUCUGCGGUUUUAAAACCUUCUAUAAUUUCCUAGUGCCCUUUUGAGUCUGACCAAAAUGUAUCUUGAAAUCUGUGGUAAGGCCGCGCUGAACUUCCUCUACUGCCUCUGAAAGAGCACCAAGCUCUUCUCUUCCUCCAGGCCUCCUUACGUACUGUUCCCUCUGCUUGAUCACCCUUCCUUAAUAUUUCAUUUCGCUCAUCUUUCGGAUGUCUCCUCCUCCAAGAAGUCUUCCCUAACAUCCAGGCAGGGGCAGGUGCCUCCUCUCCUCUGGCCCCUCUAAACCCCAACCCCUGACUUCUCCUGGCUGUCAUUGAUAGAGGACCUAUCUCCCCCACUGGGCUGUGAGCUCUGUGAGGGCAGGGGCCAGACCUGUUUCAGCCACCAAAAUGUCCCAUCUAGCACUGCAAGCCUGGAGCAGGUGCCCAAGUGUUUGUGGCUGAACUCACAGACCCCUUCCCCGUGAAUUCACCUACCUUGCCCUCCCCCCUCGCCCACACGCCCGGCCUGGAAAUUAGAAGGAUACAUGUGCCUGAUCGAUCAUGCACUUGCACAGUGUGAAGUCGGUGUGGGGCAGGUUGGUGAGGGCCUUUAGCAGUAUCUGGGCCGUCACCGUGGUUUGAAAGAAGGCUGGGUUGAACUGGUACCUGAGAAGGGGAACAAGAGACACAUCAAUCGUGGCAUCUGCCGGUCCCUGGGCCUCAUCAGAUGCCCAGCGCUUUGGCCCAGAGCUUGGGAGCUGGACGUGCCUGGGCUCCAUUCCCAAUCACAGCAUUCUGGCUCUGUGACCUUAACCUCCCUGACCUACAUCCCUGUUCUGCAGAUGGGGGACAGUUAAUCCUCCCAACCACCCAGUAAGGCGGAUGCUGUUAAGUGGUUCACAAAUGACAAUGUAAGUUAUUAGUCUGGAAUAGUGGUUGAGGCCCUGGAACCAGACUGCUUGGAUUUUUUUUUUUUUUUUUUUACUUUUGACAGAGAGAUAAAGUGCAAGUGAGCACACGAGCAGAGGCAGAGAGAAAGCAUCCCAAGCAGGCUCCGCAUUGUCAGCGCAGAGCCUGACACGGGCUCAAACUCACUAACCGCGACAUCAUGACCUGAGUAGAAACCAAGAGUCGGAUGCUUAACGGACUGAGCCACCCAGCCCCCCUCAUCCCCUUAAAAAUUCAAGUUAGUUGGGGCGCCUGGGUGGCUCAGUUGGUUAGGCAUCUGACUUCGGCUCAGGUCAUGAUCUUGUGGUUCAUGAGUUUGAGCCCCACGUCGAGCUCUGUGCUGACAGAUCAGAGCCUGGAGCCUACUUGGAUUCUGUGUCUCCCUCUCUCUCUGCCCCUCCCUGCUCAUGCUCUCUGCCUCUCUCUCAAAAAUAAACAAACAUUAAAAUAAUAGUAAUAAUAACAAAAAUUCAAGUUCGUCAUCGGUGUAGUCUUGGCUUCAGGAGCAGAACCCAGUGAUUCAUCUCUUACAUACGACAUCUACCGCUCAUCCCAAAAAAUGCCCUCGUUAAUGCCCGUCACCUUGUUACCCACCCCCUCCCCUCCAGCAGCUCUCGGUCCAGACUACUUGGAUUUAAACUUCCCUGCUAAGGGACCCUGGACUGCCUAUUUUAAAUUCUCUGUGCACCAGUUUCCUCCCUCGAAAAAAAGGGACAAGAACGACCCUAUCUUCUUCACAAGGGCAGUAUAGCAUCCGAGUUAAAACACACAAAAGCUGACAGCACGGUAGCUACCGCAUGAGAAACACCCACUAAGCAGCAGUUAUCAUCAGAAACAAUGGACAACCCCAUCAGUACAAGUGUUGUUAUAUCUCCAUUUCCCAGACGUCAGAAUCGAGACAAUAUAUAAAAAUUACACAACUGACAGUAUGUUGAGAAAGCACCGCGAGGAAGGAACUCAACUAUCCGUCAACGAGCGAAUGGGCAAUUAAGACAGUCACACAGCAGAGCACUAAACAGCAAAAACAAAAACCUGCAGCCGCAGACAAAAUGGAUGGGUCUCACAAACCCAGCGAGACGAGGAAGAUGCCGAGUCUAGAAAAGCUCACGCCGUCUGGCUACAUUUGCGUCACGUUCAAAGCAAACAAAAGUAAGCUAAGCUAAUCGGUAUGCAUGCGAGUGUGGUAAACUCACAUGAAGCCAGACCACGAGAACCUAAAGUGGUCACCAGGGUGGGGGUGAGGUGGUGGCACAAAGCAUACAAGGCAAAGGGCCUGGGGCCCUGGGCAACACUCACCUCUAUGCUAUGGGUGGUGAUCACAUGGGGUUUCACUUAUACUCACUUAGCUAUUCAUUUGUGUUUUGUACUAACCUAUAUGUGUACCCUGUAAUUACUUUUUUAAAAACCAUCUUUCCUCCUGCCCCAACUCCCUUGGCUUCCUAGUUUUGCACACCAAGAAAAGCCACAUCCCAAAGGCUACCCCCAACUUCAGCCUCAUCCAAUGUUGCCAGCGGUACCCUGCUGGUUGCUGGCCUGGAGGCGGGGAUGGAGGCAGAUACUCACAGCUUCAGGACGGCCAGGUUGGCUUCCAGAUCAUAGGCAUUCUCCUUGGCCUGUGUCUCCACAUACCGCUCCAGCGUGGCCAGAUU